AAAAUAAGAAAAGAGAGUAGUAAAUGAUAAGUGAUAAUAGAGAUAUUUUGGGAUGAGAAUGAAAAUAUCUACUGCACUGUGAUGACCCGUUGGGUUGAGCUGAUUCUAAAUGAAACCCCCACCGGUUGACGUGGCGGUGCUUUGGACCCACUACGGUACUACACAUGUAAAAGUGCUCAUAUCUCCGAUCUUCACCGCUUUCUCUAUCUCCUUCAAUUCCUCCUUCACUUUUCUUAUUCUUAAUAAUUCAUCUUUCUCUGUUUCAUCACGCCCACUCCCCCCAAAUCCCGCAAAUGAAGAAGAACAAUUUCAAGAUAAAAGAAAAAACUGCCAUGUGUUCACCCACCACUGAUCUCCUUUUGCCACCACAACAGAUACAGGUAGCUAGUUUCCUUUAACUACUUCUCCAUGUUCAUUCCUCCUAACAAUUAUUAGUACAAGACUCUGCCAUUAGUUUAUAUAUUCACAGUGACGAAGCAACCCAUAAAAUUCAUCUUCAAUAAAUAGAGGGAUCAGUGUCUACAGCAGAGUGGACAGACGAGAAACACAGCAUGUUUCUUAACUCUAUGGAAGCAUCAUUUGUCCACCAAUUAUAUGACUUCAAGCAAACAUUCGCCUCAAUCACUAGACUCAACGAGUCUCAUGAUUUAAAAACAAAUCCGUGGAUUCAGCACUAUGGAUCUUCACACAAACUAGGUGCUCCACAUGCUCCAAUUGUUCAUGCAGAGAUGUCGGAUCAGAACUUUGCCGAUGAAGAAGCUGAAGAGCAACAAAAGGAAAACAACAAAAGAGAUGUAAAAAGACUUAAAAGGCCUUUGAUAAAUGAUGAUGCUGCUGCAACAAUGAGAUACUGUAAAACAUAGUUUUAGUCGCUAUGGAUAUUGGAGAUGAGUGGGUUGAUAUCCAUUCAAAAUGUUGCUUCAGAUAUCCUUAACAAGUGGUGUAGAAUGUAGAGAUUAGAAUCGAGAGAAGCUAAGCUAAGCUUUUAAUGUGCAUGCUAGUAUUAGAAUCAUGAGAAAUUUAACUAUGAAUAUAUAUGCACACGCACUUAUGGUUAUGGCCAGUUUCAGAUUUAUGAUAGCAGCUAAUUUGAGUAA